AACGAACGCUUGCGGCAUGCUUAAACAUGCAAGUCGAACGAGAAAGUGGCUUCGGCCAUGAGUAGAGUGGCGCACGGGUGAGUAACACGUAGCUAACGUCCCUCCUCGCUGGGGAUAACUCAGGGAAACCUGGGCUAAUACCGAAUGAUCUGACAUGGUCUCUGGACUAUGGCGGUAAAGCCUUCGGGCGCGAGGAGAUCGGGUUGCGUCCCAUUAGCUAGUUGGUAGGGUAAUGGCCUACCAAGGCUACGAUGGGUAGCUGGUCUGAGAGGAUGAUCAGCCACACUGGAACUGAAACACGGUCCAGACUCCCACGGGAGGCAGCAGUUGGGAAUAUUGGACAAUGGGGGGAAACCCUGAUCCAGCAAUGCCGCGUGAAUGAUGAAGGCCUUCGGGUCGUAAAGUUACUUUUAGUCAGGGAAAGAAGGGAAACUUAGACUGUACCUGCAGAAAAAGACACCGGCCUAAACUCCCGUGCCAGCAGCCGC
rnacentral:rRNA from 1 species